GAUGAAGAACGUAGCGAAAUGCGAUAAGUAAUGUGAAUUGCAGAAUUCAGUGAAUCAUCGAAUCUUUGAACGCACAUUGCGCCCGCUAGUAUUCUGGCGGGCAUGCCUGUCCGAGCGUCAAUUCAACCCUCGGGAGCCCCUUUGCGGGGGCUGCCGGUGUUGGGGAUCGCCCGCCGCCAUGGUGGACGUCCCCUAAAACGAUUGGCGGUCUCGCUGUAGCCUCCUCUGCGCAGUAGCACUUGUUCUCGCAGGCGGAGCGCGGCGCGGCCAAGCCGUUAAACCCCCAACUUUUUUACUAGGUUGACCUCGGAUCAGGUAGGAAUACCCGCUGAACUUAAGCAUAUCAAUAAGCGGAGGA
rnacentral:misc_RNA from 1 species